CACGCCCUAAACGAUGUCAACUAGUUGUUGGGGAUUCAUUUCCUUAGUAACGUAGCUAACGCGUGAAGUUGACCGCCUGGGGAGUNACGCGAAAAACCUUACCUACCCUUGACAUGGUCGGAACCCUGCUGAAAGGUGGGGGUGCUCGAAAGAGAACCGAUACACAGGUGC
rnacentral:rRNA from 1 species